UACGGGGGGAGCAAGCGUUGUUCGGAUUUACUGGGCGUAAAGGGCGCGUAGGCGGCCACCGCAAGUCGACUGUGAAAUCUCCGGGCUUAACCCGGAAAGGUCAGCCGAUACUGCGGGGCUAGAGUGCAGAAGGGGCAACUGGAAUUCUCGGUGUAGCGGUGAAAUGCGUAGAUAUCUGGAGGAACACCGGUGGCGAAGGCGGCAUCCUGGACCGGUAUUGACGCUGAGGCGCGAAAGCUAGGGGAGCAAACGGG
rnacentral:rRNA from 1 species